AGCAGCCGCGGUAAUUCCAGCUCCAAUAGCGUAUAUUAAAAGUUGUUGCAGUUAAAAAGACUCGUAGCUGAAUUUCGGGGUCAGUAGGUUGGUCGUGCCACUGGUAUGUACUGGUCUCACUGAUUCCUCCUUCCUGAUGAGCUGUAAUGCCAUUAAUUUGGUGUUGCAGGGAAUCUGGACUAGUUACUUUGAAAAAUUAGAGUGUUUAAAGCAGGCUAACGCUUGAAUACAUUAGCAUGGAAUAAUGAAAUAGGACGUUCGAUUCCUAUUUUGUUGGUUUCUAGGAUUGACGUAAUGAUUAAUAGGG
rnacentral:rRNA from 1 species